AUACGGAGGGUGCAAGCGUUAAUCGGAAUUACUGGGCGUAAAGCGUACGUAGGCGGUUUGUUAAGUUAGAUGUGAAAGCCCCGGGCUUAACCUGGGAACUGCAUUUAAAACUGGCAAACUAGAGUGGGGUAGAGGGAAGUGGAAUUUCAGGUGUAGCGGUGAAAUGCGUAGAGAUCUGAAGGAACACCGGUGGCGAAGGCGACUUCCUGGACUCAAACUGACGCUGAGGUACGAAAGCGUGGGUAGCAAACGGGAUUAGAAACCCUAGUAGUCC
rnacentral:rRNA from 1 species